rnacentral:ncRNA from 17 species
AUAGUUCCUAAAUCUAUAGAAUAAUAUUUGAAAUAUAGAAAUUUAUUCCUAGACAUGGAACUAACAGUGGGCUACGCGAGUAGCAGAAGUUAGAUAGGCCAUCACACCUGCUGAUGUUAUUCCAGUCGGUAGCUCUGUG